rnacentral:tRNA from 1 species
GCCUAGUUAGCUCGGUGGUAGCGCGUCUACCUUUGAAGAGGCCGUGGGUUCGAUUCCCACCCGGGGCG